AUACGCUAGUGGCGAAGCUCGCUCGUGAUCAGUCUGUCUCUUUCACGCUACAAGCAAAUAAUUCCCCUUCUGCUUUCUUCCGUACUGUUUUCAUAUACCGCUCCCCUAACCAACUUAGUGACGAAACGGCCUCACCUAGUACCAUAGACCCGUCUUGGAUCAUACAACUGCUAUGAAUACAUUCGACUCGUUUGCUUCCAUCAAUCGGUAAAUGAGAAAGAUGAUUUCUCCCAUCACCACAGUGCGGAUUUCCACUUCUAUCACAGCAGCCAACAACAUCCGUUUUCCUGCAUCAGUAACCUCCAACCCCUGUUGGCAAUGCCGGGGGACAGCAUCAACAGCAGCAGCAGCAGAAUUUGACCAUGGUAUGGUAUUGCGGAGAACUUUCCCCAUUAGAGGUUCCGUGCUUCGCGCACAUUCAAAAAUCCUCUUCAGACACGAAAACUCAACGACAAGGAGGUAUUUAUCAACUUACUCAGCUGAAUUACCACCCGGAGGAACCCGAAUGCACUGAUUCCGUUGUAUAGUAGAAUGAAAAUAGGCGAGGUAAGCGAACGUAUUCGCAUGAUAUUUUAAUGUUCGCAUUUUAUCCGGAUCAUUCAACUGCUAUGAAUACAUCCGACUCAAUCAAUCGGCGAAUGAGAAAGAUGAUUUCCCUUAUCACCACAUUGCUUAUUUCCACUUCUGUCACACCAGCCAACAGCAUCAGCUUUCCCGCAGCAGUAUCCUUUAAGUCCAGGGUGCUAUUCCGGGGAACAGCAUCAACAGCAACCGCAGCAGGACCUGGCCAUCGAUAGUAUUUCGAGCAAUUUUCCCCAUCGGAGAUCCCGUGCUUCACGCACAUUGAAGAAUCCUCCUCAGCCACAUAUCUGUGUCAUCAAGGGCAAGGAGGUAUUCAUCAAUGUACUCAGUCGGAUU